AUUGAACGCUGGCGGCAGGCUUAACACAUGCAAGUCGAGCGGGGGAAGGUAGCUUGCUACUGGACCUAGCGGCGGACGGGUGAGUAAUGCUUAGGAAUCUGCCUAUUGGUGGGGGACAACAUCUCGAAAGGGAUGCUAAUACCGCAUACGUCCUACGGGAGAAAGCAGGGGAUCUUCGGACCUUGCGCUAAUAGAUGAGCUUAAGUCGGAUUAGCUAGGUGGUGGGGUAAAGGCCUACCAAGGCUAAGAUCUGUAGCGGGUCUGAGAGGAUGAUCCGCCACACUGGGACUGAGACACGGCCCAGACUCCUACGGGAGGCAGCAGUGGGGAAUAGUGGACAAUGGGGGGAACCCUGAUCCAGCCAUGCCGCGUGUGUGAAGAAGGCCUUAUGGUUGUAAAGCACUUUAAGCGAGGAGGAGGCUACUUUAGUUAAUACCUAGAGAUAGUGGACGUUACUCGCAGAAUAAGCACCGGCUAACUCUGUGCCAGCCGCCGCGGUAA
rnacentral:rRNA from 1 species